rnacentral:rRNA from 1 species
AUUGAACGCUGGCGGCAUGCUUUACACAUGCAAGUCGAACGGCAGCGCGGGGCAACCUGGCGGCGAGUGGCGAACGGGUGAGUAAUAUAUCGGAACGUACCCAGAAGUGGGGGAUAACGUAGCGAAAGUUACGCUAAUACCGCAUGCGAUCUACGGAUGAAAGUAGGGAACCGCAAGGCCUUAUGCUUUUGGAGCGGCCGAUAUCUGAUUAGCUAGUUGGUGAGGUAAAGGCUCACCAAGGCGACGAUCAGUAGCUGGUCUGAGAGGACGACCAGCCACACUGGAACUGAGACACGGUCCAGACUCCUACGGGAGGCAGCAGUGGGGAAUUUUGGACAAUGGGCGCAAGCCUGAUCCAGCAAUGCCGCGUGAGUGAAGAAGGCCUUCGGGUUGUAAAGCUCUUUUGUCAGGGAAGAAACGGUAGAGGCUAAUAUCCUUUGCUAAUGACGGUACCUGAAGAAUAAGCACCGGCUAACUACGUG